rnacentral:rRNA from 1 species
UACGUAGGAUGCAAGCGUUGUCCGGAAUUAUUGGGCGUAAAGAGAACGUAGGUGGCUUGUUAAGUUCGGUCUUAAAGACCGGGGCUCAACCCCGGGAAUGGACUGAAAACUGGCAGGCUAGAGGAUGUCAGAGGAUGGUGGAAUUCCAAGUGUAGCGGUGAAAUGCGUAGAUAUUUGGAGGAACACCUGUGGCGAAAGCGGCCAUCUGGGGCAUUCCUGACACUGAGGUUCGAAAGCUCGGGGAGCAAACAGG